rnacentral:lncRNA from 1 species
AUUACAUCUGGAGCUUUUUAAAAAUGACAGUUCUGAACAGAAGGAAAAAGGAACAGAGAUAAAUCUGCUAGAAUAAAUAUUCACAGAGGGGAAAAAAGAGAAAGUAAUCCAACUGAACAGUCCUAUGUGUUAGACUCUUUUCGUGAUGCAUGUCUGAAGCUCACAUGAUUUGGAUAGGGCUGAUGUCUCAUGCUGGGUAGCAGUUGAUGGCGCCAGAUGCUCCAUCAAAGAAAGAUAAUCGCAAACUGAAUCCUGCCAAGCUGUUGAUGUAUUAAACACUCUGUCUGUAAGUAGUGUUAUAAACAGAGAGGCUGUUGCUCCCAUCAGUCCUAAAAUUGAUGAUGUUCAAAAGCAACUUUUUAAAAUUUUUAUAUCUGUGGGUGUUACAGAGGCAGAGAUACCUUAGUUCCACAGAUAGUGCUCCAACAACAAAACUGCCUGUAGCUGUUCCUGCCCUUCUCCCGUGCCUCCAUGCUUAUUCCCAUCCAUACCUCUAGUGCAGAGAUGCUUAUGACACAAUGGAUUUGCCAAUUAAUCACGUAUAUCAGCCGAUUCUGAUUAAGAAUAUCUUUUAAAAAGGGCUAUUUUUAACCUUAAGCCUUUUAAUCCCUUCCGUGUAUUGGUUCAUCUCACAGUCUGACAAACAGCUGUGGUGCGCAAGGGUAUGGCGUGAGAACAAGAAAGAAUACCUCUGUGCAAGGGUGGAGCAGACUGAGGAGCAGCCAAGGGAAACAUCCGCUGAACCACAGUUCAAGCCACAUGAUUUCCUUUGGAGCAGUCAGGCAGGAAGCCAUAUACAAAAUCAGAAGUAGUCCUACAGCAGAAAGCUAAUAAGGUUGAUGGAACUGAACGUAUAAAAGAUUAUAAUUACUGAGGACUUUUCAGAAAACUCACAAGAAUCCCUCCAGAGAGCUCACUCUGUAGCAAAAUGAGUAUCAAAAUAGAUGAGUGAAACUUUAUGGUCAGGAAAACCCCAUUCACUGGGAAGGUGCAAGAACGUUUUCCUCAAAUUUUCACACAUAUUGUUUUGGAAAUUGCCCAUUAUGUCCUAACAAGCAAUGGAAUUUUUCUGUACUGGGGAAAAACAACUGAAGUUUGGCUAAAAGUCUCUGUGAUGAAGCUGAUGUUGGAAAAAUGGAGACAAAGUAAGUGGUCAUAUAACCUCCUUAGAUGCAACUGUGCAUGCCCAGAGGAACAUUAGCAUAUAUUAAUGAGUUCUUGGAAAAGAGGAACAUGUUACUAGUGCAACAACACAUCAUCAGUAGGGUAAAACUAACCUGUCUCACGACGGUCUAAGCCCAGCUCACGUUCCCUAUUAGUGGGUGAACAAUCCAACGCCUGGUGAAUUCUGCUUCACAGUGAUAGUAAGAGCCGACAUCGAAGGAUCAAAAAGUGACAUCGCUAUGAACGCAUGGCCAAUGUACUGCAUAUAUAUGUCUUGAUUUUCAAAUGUAGAUCUCCAAGAUGGUGCACUUGUUUGUCAAGUUGCCCUGUACAUACCGUGAGGAAUAAAGGAAAGCCACUGUCUAAUACCA